rnacentral:rRNA from 1 species
AUUGAACGCUGGCGGCAGGCCUAACACAUGCAAGUCGAACGAGUGGCGGACGGGUGAGUAAUGUCUGGGAAACUGCACGAUGGAGGGGGAUAACUACUGGAAACGGUAGCUAAUACCGCAUACCAUCGGAUGUGCCCAUAUGGGAUUAGCUAGUAGGGGGGGUAAAGGCUCACCUAGGCGACGAUCCCUAGCUGUGCUGAGAGGAUGACCAGCCACACUGGAACUGAGACACGGUCCAGACUCCUACGGGAGGCAGCAGUGGGGAAUAUUGCACAAUGGGCGCAAGCCUGAUGCAGCCAUGCCGCGUGUAUGAAGAAGGCCUUAGGGUUGUAAAGUACUUUCAGCGGGGAGGCGUUACCCGCAGAAGAAGCACCGGCUAACUCCGUGCCAGCAGCCGCGGUAAUAC